AGUACCUGGAGAUCUUGUCAAAGUGCAGAUUCCGAUUCAGAAAGUCUCGGGUGGGGCCUGAGAUUCUGCAUUUCUGAUAAGUUCCCAAGUAUAGCUGA
rnacentral:pre_miRNA from 1 species